UUGAGCGAUUUACUUCGGUAAAGAGCGGCGGACGGGUGAGUAACGCGUGGGUAACCUACCCUGUACACACGGAUAACAUAUCGAAAGGUAUGCUAAUACGGGAUAAUAUAUUUGAGAGGCAUCUCUUAAAUAUCAAAGGUGAGCCAGUACAGGAUGGACCCGCGUCUGAUUAGCUAGUUGGUAAGGUAACGGCUUACCAAGGCGACGA
rnacentral:rRNA from 1 species